UACGGAGGGGGCUAGCGUUGUUCGGAAUUACUGGGCGUAAAGCGCACGUAGGCGGCUUUGCAAGUCAGAGGUGAAAGCCCGGGGCUCAACCCCGGAAUUGCCUUUGAGACUGCAUCGCUAGAACGUCGGAGAGGUAAGUGGAAUUCCGAGUGUAGAGGUGAAAUGCGUAGAGAUCGGGAGGAACAUCAGUGGCGAAGGCGGCCAUCUGGGACAACACUGACGCUGAAGCACGAAAGCGUGGGGAGCAAACAGG
rnacentral:rRNA from 1 species